UGGUGGAGUGAUUUGUCUGGUUAAUUCCGAUAACGAACGAGACCUUAUCCUGCUAAAUAGUGAGGCCAACUUCAGUUGGUCGCCCACUUCUUAGAGGGACUAUCGACGUUUAGUCGAUGGAAGUUUGAGGCAAUAACA
rnacentral:rRNA from 1 species